CCCUUCUCAGGAUCACACCUGGAGAGUUUCCAGUAUUCUACCGGUCUUGGCUAUGAGAGGGGAGAGUCAAGCAGAGGCAUACUCAUUCCAUUCUUAGCUUGGGCAGUGGCUAGUGAGUGGAAGGCAAUCUGCUACAAGU